rnacentral:misc_RNA from 1 species
UUUCCCACCUCCUAUCUCUAAAUGUGAGCUAGCCGAAAUAAUACGUACGUAAGCAAAAUUUUGACGUGUCAACAUUUUUCGAGAAGAGAAUCCGAAUCCUUUUCGGGUUCGCUCCUUAAAUUUGCAACCAUAUUUAUUGCCUUUUAGCUCAGAGCGACCUGUUAAGUGUCAGAAAUUUGCCAUGCCUACCAAACAAAUUGUUAGCAGUUUCUUGUUGCUGAUUCAUUUCAGUCAUGGGUUUUAUCUUCCCGGGUUGGCUCCCGUUAAUUAUUGCACGAAAGAUAAACAGAGCGACACAUGCAAAAAUGAUGUAUCAGUUUUUGUUAAUCGGCUCAACUCAGAGGAAGCUAUCAUUCCUUAUGAAUACCAUCACUUUGACUUCUGCACUGAAGACCAUGAAACAGGACCAGUGGAAAACUUAGGCCAAGUUGUUUUUGGAGAAAGAAUUCGAUCAAGUCCUUACAAGUUGGAGUUCAAGAACAAUCAGGAAUGGAAUUAUGCCUGUAAGAAGUCGUACCAGCCAGGCAACCAGGAAGAUCUAAAAAAAAUUAAAGAAUUAAUUCAUGGGAUAUCAUUAAAUUAUCAACAUCAUUGGAUUGUUGACAAUAUGCCUGUGACAUGGUGUUAUCAAGGAGAACCUGGCCAGCAGUUCUGCAGUACUGGUUUCCCAAUGGGCUGUUAUCUUCCAAAAUCAGGCAAACCCAAAGAUGCCUGUGUGAUGAAUCCUGCCUUCAGCAAACCGGAUACGUAUUACAUUUUUAACCAUAUUGAUCUCACCAUUACCUAUCACGGUGGCAAGGGAGAAACAUGGGGUACCGAGUUGGAUGACGAUAUUGGGCGAAUUCUAAGUGUGAAAGUGGGACUGCGUUCGCUUAGUGUGGAAAAGGAUCCUACGUCACCUCCUAUGAUCGUGCCUAAAGAGCUGAAGGAGCCCCUCACAAUCACGUACACCUAUUCCGUCAAGUUCAUUGACGAUCCGUUUACCAAAUGGUCAUCUAGGUGGGAUUAUUUACUUGAAUCGAUGCCGAGUGCCAAUAUUCAGUGGUUUUCCAUUUUGAAUUCAUUGGUUAUUGUUCUUUUCCUGUCUGGCAUGGUGGCUAUGAUCUUACUCCGAACACUGCACAAAGAUAUUGCUCGCUAUAAUCAGAUUGAUUCUGGCGAAGAUGCACAAGAAGAAUUUGGAUGGAAAUUAGUUCAUGGUGAUAUAUUCCGCCCACCACGAAAGGGCAUGUUACUCUCAGUGUUUGUGGGAUCGGGUGUUCAGGUUUUCAUAAUGACCUUGAUCACCUUAAUUUUUGCUUGUUUGGGAUUCCUGUCACCAGCCAACCGUGGUGCAUUAAUGACAUGCGCUUUGGUUCUCUACGUGUGUUUGGGUACGCCAGCCGGAUAUGUUUCAUCCCGUAUCUAUAAAUCUUUCGGUGGCGAAAGAUGGAAGUUGAACGUUCUUCUUACUUCCAUGCUAUGUCCAGGGAUUGUCUUUGGAGUCUUUUUCGUUUUGAAUUUGGUUCUUUGGAGUAAAGGUAGCUCGGGUGCUAUCUCCUUCGGCAUUUUAGUGGCAUUGUUAGCCCUAUGGUUUGGCAUCUCAGUUCCACUUACAUUCGUCGGCGCAUUUUUCGGCUUCCGAAAAAGGCCGAUCGAACACCCUGUUCGGACGAAUCAGAUUCCCCGACAGGUUCCCGAUCAAAGUGUUUACACACGUCCGGCUCCGGGCAUCGUCAUGGGUGGCGUUUUGCCAUUUGGUUGCAUCUUUAUCCAGCUGUUCUUUAUUCUCAACUCAUUGUGGUCCAACCAAAUGUAUUACAUGUUUGGAUUUCUUUUCUUAGUCUUCAUCAUCUUGGUGAUCACGUGUUCUGAAACGACAGUUCUACUUUGUUACUUCCAUCUGUGUGCUGAGGAUUACCACUGGUGGUGGCGCAGCUUUUUGACAAGCGGUUUUACAGCCUUUUAUUUGUUUAUGUAUUGCGUCCAUUACUUUGUCACAAAAUUAGAAAUUCAAGAUGCCACAUCCACCUUCCUUUACUUUGGAUACACCUUCAUCAUGGUUUUCUUGUUCUUUCUUCUUUCAGGGACUAUCGGUUUCUUUGCUUGCUUUUGGUUUGUCCGCAAAAUUUAUUCAGUGGUUAAAGUGGAUUAGUGUUUUGUUACGUGAAUGCUGGCCAUACUUAGCAAGCAAGCAUAAAUAAAGCUCAUGCACACCAGUAUUCAUUAUCUUUAUAAUGAUUUGUCUUGUAAUAAGAUAAUUAUUAUCACACAUGUAAAAUUUUGUAUUGGUGAAAUACUAAUGAGAAAAAUCAAGAAUUGAAAUUCAA